CUGUCUAAAAAAGAUUUUAUUUUGUUAAUUUGAGUUGCAUUUAAUUUUAUGUCUCAUUGCUGACCCCUUGUGGUGAACUGAAAAAACUGACUGUGCAUGCGCUGUCCACGCGUUGGAUCAUAAUGAGCCAGGUGGCGCAGAAUUAGCAUAACGAAAAAAGAACACAGAGAACACGCUGGACGGAGACAGAACAGAGCACGGUGGAAAGACUGAAAAUGGACGAGCAACUCCUUAAAAUGUGAUCAGAGGGCACACGUUUUUCACGGUGAUUCCUUGGUGAUUCUUUGACGAUUCUGUGGUUACGUGAAAAAUAAAUGACCAAAAGAUCAUCAGUCGGAGCGUGGCUUUUUUCUGAUCGGAUUGAAAAACUUAAGGAGCAGCUACAAUG